AUGUCUUCUGUCACUCAGCUGCUGCUGCUGCUGGCAGCUGGAUUAUGUGUGAAAUGUGAACAGCUGAUUCAACCAGCCUCUGCCGUUCUGCAGCCUGGUCAACAGUUGACCAUCAGCUGUCGGGUCUCUUAUUCUCUCAGCAGCUAUAAUACACACUGGAUCAGACAGCCUGCAGGGAAAGGACUGGAGUGGAUGAGUAUAGACACAUCUGUCAAAGAUUCAUUAGAAAACAAGUUCAGUGUCAACUUGGACUAUUCCAGCAACACAGUGACUCUAACUGGGGAGAACAUGCAGCCUGAAGAUGCUGCUGUGUAUUACUGUGCUGGAGAAAGCCACAGUGACACAAACAUCACAGCACAUGCACAAAAACCCCCCUCAGAGCCGGAACUCUGGUAA